UGCCCCACUAGUCUGGGAUACCACUUGGAAACAGGUGCUAAUACCGGAUAAGAAAGCGGAUCGCAUGAUCAGCUUUUAAAAGGCGGCGUAAGCUGUCGCUAUGGGAUGGCCCCGCGGUGCAUUAGCUAGUUGGUAAGGUAAAGGCUUACCAAGGCGAUGAUGCAUAGCCGAGUUGAGAGACUGAUCGGCCACAUUGGGACUGAGACACGGCCCAAACUCCUACGGGAGGCAGCAGCG
rnacentral:rRNA from 1 species